UAAUCGAAUAUCAAAUGGGGUGAUGGCGCAGUUGGCUAGCGCGUAGGUCUCAUAGCUUCUGAGUGAUCCUGAGGUCGAGAGUUCGAGCCUCUCUCACCCCAUAAAUUAUUUUUGUUUUUGUUUUCUGGAUUUUGAAAGAUGUCUGUUUUCUUUUUCUGCCACUUAAAGACGAACACGUUGCCUCAAAGGAAACAAAAAAAAUAAUGACAUUGAAGUAUAUGAUUAAGCUUAAAUAUAUAUAUAUUGAAGACUAUGGUUAUGUAUCAUCAACCGACCUUAGCUCAGAUGGUAGAGCGGAGGACUGUAGUUGGUUAACAGACAUCCUUAGGUCACUGGUUCGAAUCCGGUAGGUCGGAAUUA
rnacentral:tRNA from 1 species